rnacentral:sRNA from 2 species
CCCUCAGUCAUUGGGGAGUAGCUGACCUGCGCAACGCGGGGGCUCGCGUCAACACACUUGGCCCAUAGGCCAUGGCGCGAGCAGCUUCACGGCCUGGCAAGACCUUUGACCACACCGCCUCCGGAUUGGGCCGGGGAUGCGGGGUGGUCUUUGCGUUUCCGGCCCCUGGAUUU